rnacentral:rRNA from 1 species
UUAAUCAAAAAAUAAUGGUUUUAUAUCUAGUGUCCAAGAAAGGGGAAAUAACCCAAUGAUCCUUGAUCAAAAAAGGAUUAUUUCCCUAAAUAUUAUCAAGUUUAUCUACAGCCCAAAGAAUCACGAGUUGCAACUCCCGUGACUGAAUUAACUCCACUGGCAAUUUCACACAAUUGUCUAAUCUGUUCUCGGUCUAAUAUGGCAUCACUAAAAUCAGCACCGAUAAUUUUAACAUUACGAAAUGUUGACCCUAAAAAUAAGGCUUCAACUAACACCGCAUCACUUAAAUCAGCUUCGGUAAAAUCAGCUUGAUCUAACAUUGCAUAAGUUAAAUUUGCUUGUUUUAAGCUGGCUUUAGUUAGAAUCCCCUUACUAAAAAUAGCGCCUUCUAAAUCUGAAUGAUCAAAUUUUGCUAACUCCAUAUUGGAAUUAGCAAAUUCCGCCGCCGGUAAGGACUGAUUAGAAAAAUCCCGUCCCUGUAGCAAACUAUGAUUAAAAAAUAGAUGGGCUGGAUUUUUUGCCGCCCAGGAGGCUACAGGAAAAACCAAUAGCAUUGUAGCCACUAUUAAAACGAUGAAUUUCCCAAGUCUGAUCAUCUGUUUACUGCUCCACUUUACAAUCAAAUCCUUUAUAAUUAUGUUAGCCUCUCCAGUGCCCAAUUUUGAUAUAAUCAUGUAAAAUAAAUUGUCUAUAAGGAUGUUGUUUUAGAAUAACAAGUUCCUAAAAACAACCUAGACCUUAACUUUCAUUUUCAGGAAAAAUCCAUGCUCAAUUUUUUUGUCACUUGGGUAAUCUCGGCAAUUUCACUCGGAGUAACAGCUUAUAUUGUUCCUGGUUUUACCAUUAGCAGUUGGCAAUCUGCCGCCAUUGGAGUGGUUGUUAUGGCUUUAGUAAAUGCCAUUAUUAAACCCAUUAUUACCAUUUUUACCCUGCCUUUAACCAUUCUAACUUUAGGUUUAUUUUUAUUCGUCGUCAAUGCCAUUUCUAUUUCCUUAGUGGCGUAUUUUACUCCCGGAUUUUCAAUUUCUAGCUUCUGGGCAGCAUUAUUUGGUUCAAUUGUACUUUCUUUGGUUUCCAGUUUCUUUAAUCAGAUUUUGGACAAAUCUAACGAUUUAUUAGAUUAAACCAGAUUAUAAAAAAACAACUUUGCUGGAAGGGGAGAUGCUGUCGCCAUAAAUUUCAACUUCAUCUAAAUCAAAAACUGUUUUUUCUUGAAGUUGCAAUAGAAUAUAGUGGGCAAUAUCAGAAUUUAAUUUCUUGACCUAAAUUAGCCCCAACAAAUAAUCCAUGAAGGUUUAGGAACUCGUAAACAAUUAACAAUCUAUAACACUUUUGUAAUCAGUUGUUUUUUGGCUGCCAUCCACACAGCACAUCCCUAUGGCUUAGAACACCGGACUUCUUGCUCCAACUUAGUUAAAUCCGGGAAAAAACUCAUCCCGACUCGGCCUGAACAGACCAUAUACUCUAAGGGCGAACGAUGGGACUUGAACCCACGAGUGGAGGAAUCACAAUCCUCUGCCUUAACCACUUGGCUACGCUCGCCGUACAAUUUCUUAAUUUAGCACAAGAUCAAAAAAAUGACUAGGGGCUUGAGCAAAAAAAAUAAAAUUUGCCGAUCCUAAGCUAACAAAAAGCCAGUUCAAGAGGUUUCCUGGGCAGAAAAAACCUCCAAUAACGCAUAACGAGUGAUCACAAAGCAGGUUCUAGCUUGUUCAAUCUCGGACAACUCAGACCAACUCGUUUCUUUCAGGAUAGUCGAAUUCGAUCUUACCCCAUCCCCAUCCAGUUCUGCUCCUCGCAUUGCAUAAGCAAAAGGACGGGCUAAAACCUGCAAAUCCUCCUCUGACCAUUGGGGCAAUAACUCCUGAACACACUGCACUAAUUGAUCAGCUAAGGACAAACUUCGCGAAGAAACCUCUUCAUUCAUUCGGGUAGCUGCCUGUGCUAAACGAUUCAACAACUCAUCAGGUAUUUGUUCCGCAAAAUUCCGUAAUAAAGACGUUUUCAAUCGGGUUGCUGGCCAAAAUUGAUUAAUUUGGUUCAUAAACCGUUGAGAUCUUUCCACUAAUUCUGCCUCUGUAAAUGCGGCCAUUAGGGAAUCCUCAGCAUUUUGAUCUAAAAAACAAGCUUCAGCCUUCACUGUAUAGGGAUUCCAGGAAGAUGGUAGAUCAUUCGGAAACAGAUCAUUGAGUAAAUCCCAUUCGGCUUGAAUUUCUGAGUUGUCAGCAUCAUUAAUCAUAAUAGGGGCCUUGAUUGAUGAAAAUAUCCGUUAGUUUAGCCUCAAUUUCGCCACUGAGAACAUAGAGCAUCAUCCGUUCAACCUAAUAUAUAAGUCCAACACUGACCAUCUACUAAUCAAAGCCAUUGUCUCAAACGGCUUCUCCCUCAGUAAUUAACGCAAAAUCGAUAUCUGUUUCCCCUAGCUACAGUGACACCAGCAAAAAUUCCGUAAGCCAUCAACCCCAAAAAAAGUGCGAUUAGGGCUCUAUCUUUGACUAAUACCCAGGGACAAAAAGCUGAACCCCUUAUACAGAUAGGAUUUGGCAUUCACAGAAAAAAAAACGCCAAAAGGGGUUGACAUCUUCAAAGAAGACUGAUAGAUUUAUAAAAGUGUCGAAAAACAAAAGACACACCGAACCUGGACAACUAAAGAGUUUGAAAGCCNUGAGCGAACCGGGCGAACUGAAACAUCUUAGUAGCCCGAGGAAAAGAAAGCAAAAGCGAUUUCCCGAGUAGUGGUGAGCGAAAGGGAAACAGCCUAAACCAGUCGGUUUACCGAUUGGGGUAGUGGGACAGCGACACUGGACUCGACAGAGUUAGACAAAGCAGAUGAAACCUGCACCAGAGAAGGUGAAAGUCCCGUAGUCGAAAACUCAAAAAGCCUAGCUGAAUCCCGAGUAGCACGGAGCCCGUGAAAGUCCGUGUGAAUCCGCCUCGACCACGAGGUAAGGCUAAAUACUCCUGUGUGACCGAUAGAGAAACAGUACCGUGAGGGAAAGGUGAAAAGAACCCCGGAAGGGGAGUGAAAUAGAACCUGAAACCGUCAGCUUACAAGCAGUGGGAGUCCGAUUAAACGGAUGACCGCGUGCCUGUUGAAGCAUGAGCCGGCGAGUUAAAGGCAAUGGCAGGUUAAGACAGAAAAUGUCGAAGCCCAAGCGAAAGCGAGUCUGAAGAGGGCGAAGUCGUCAUUGUUUUUAGACCCGAACCCGGGUGAUCUAACCAUGUCCAGGAUGAAGCUUGGGUAAAACCAAUUGAAGGUCCGAACCGACCGAUGUUGAAAAAUCGGCGGAUGAGGUGUGGUUAGGGGUGAAAUGCCAAUCGAACCCGGAGCUAGCUGGUUCUCCCCGAAAUGUGUUGAGGCACAGCGGUUGUGGAAAAAUCUGGGGGGUAAAGCACUGUUUCGGUGCGGGCUGCGAGAGCGGUACCAAAUCGAGACAAACUCUGAAUACCCAGAGGAAGAACAACCAGUCAGACGGUGGGGGAUAAGCUCCAUCGUCAAGAGGGAAACAGCCCAGACCACCAGCUAAGGUCCCCAAAUCACCACUAAGUGAGAAAGGAGGUGGGAAUGCCGAGACAACCAGGAGGUUUGCCUAGAAGCAGCCAACCUUAAAAGAGUGCGUAAUAGCUCACUGGUCAAGCGUUGCUGCGCCGAAAAUGAACGGGGCUAAGUGGUGUACCGAAGCUGUGGAAUAUGAUUUAUUGUAUUGGUAGGGGAGCGUUCUGGCGUAGGGAGAAGCACUAGCGGAAGCAGGUGUGGACGAACCAGAAGUGAGAAUGUCGGCUUGAGUAGCGAAAAUGUAGGUGAGAAUCCUACACCCCGAAACCCUAAGGGUUCCUCCGCACGGCUCGUCCGCGGAGGGUGAGUCAGGGCCUAAGGCGAGGCUGAAGAGCGUAGUCGAUGGACAACGGGCGAAAAAUCCCGUACCGUAGGUAAAUUGGUCAGGGGAACGGAGAAGGUGUGUGCUAGCCGGAUGAUGGUUACCGGUGCAACCGUACGAGGUGUUGAGGUCUGGAGAAAACAGACUGAGCUAAGGCGGGAGUCCGACCCUUUACGAAGGGGAAGUAGAGAGCAUCAAGCUUCCAAGAAAAGCCCUAAAACCGUUAAUUUACCAACGCCUGUACCCGAAACCGACACAGGUAGGGAGGUUGAGAAAACUAAGGGGCGCGAGAUAACUCUCUCUAAGGAACUCGGCAAAAUGGCUCCGUAACUUCGGGAGAAGGAGUGCUUACGCAAGUAAGCCGCAGUGAAGAGGCCCAGGCGACUGUUUACCAAAAACACAGGUCUCCGCCAACUCGUAAGAGGAAGUAUGGGGGCUGACGCCUGCCCAGUGCCGGAAGGUUAAGGAAGUCGGUCAGGAGCAAUCUGAAGCUGAUGACUGAAGCCCCGGUGAACGGCGGCCGUAACUAUAACGGUCCUAAGGUAGCGAAAUUCCUUGUCGGGUAAGUUCCGACCCGCACGAAAGGCGUAACGAUCUGGGCACUGUCUCGGAGAGAGACUCGGCGAAAUAGAAUUGUCUGUGAAGAUACGGACUACCUGCACCUGGACAGAAAGACCCUAUGAAGCUUUACUGUAUCCUGGAAUUGGGUUCGGGCUUUGCUUGCGCAGAAUAGGUGGGAGGCGUGGAAGUCAUCCUUGUGGGGAUGAUGGAGCCAUCGGUGAGAUACCACUCUAGUAGAGCUAGAAUUCUAACUCUGACCCGUGAAUCCGGGUCGAAGACAGUUUCAGGGGGGCAGUUUGACUGGGGCGGUCGCCUCCUAAAAGGUAACGGAGGCGCGCAAAGGUUCCCUCAGAAUGGUUGGAAAUCAUUCGCAGAGUGUAAAGGCAUAAGGGAGCUUGACUGUGAGACCUACAAGUCGAACAGGGUGGAAACACGGCCUUAGUGAUCCGACGGUACUGUGUGGAAAGGCCGUCGCUCAACGGAUAAAAGUUACUCUAGGGAUAACAGGCUGAUCUCCCCCAAGAGUUCACAUCGACGGGGAGGUUUGGCACCUCGAUGUCGGCUCAUCGCAACCUGGGGCGGAAGUACGUCCCAAGGGUUGGGCUGUUCGCCCAUUAAAGCGGUACGUGAGCUGGGUUCAGAACGUCGUGAGACAGUUCGGUCCAUAUCCGGUGCAGGCGUAAGAGCAUUGAGAGGAGCCUUCCCUAGUACGAGAGGACCGGGAAGGACGCACCGCUGGUGUACCUGUUAUCGUGCCAACGGUAAACGCAGGGUAGCUAUGUGCGGAGUGGAUAACCGCUGAAAGCAUCUAAGUGGGAAGCCCACCUCAAGAUGAUUGCUCUCACCACUUUUUGUGGGUAAGGUCACGGGCAGAACACCCGUUUAUAGGUGUUAGGUCGAAGUUCAGCAAUGAAUGUAGCCAAGACACACUAACAGACCGAGGGCUUGACCUC